UAAACUAGCCAGUAUACCCUUGCAUAAAUAC
rnacentral:misc_RNA from 1 species